CAGCAGCCGCGGUAAUACGGAGGAUCCAAGCGUUAUCCGGAAUCAUUGGGUUUAAAGGGUCCGUAGGCGGUCUUGUAAGUCAGUGGUGAAAGCCCAUCGCUCAACGGUGGAACGGCCAUUGAUACAGCAGGACUUGAAUUAUUGGGAAGUAACUAGAAUAUGUAGUGUAGCGGUGAAAUGCUUAGAGAUUACAUGGAAUACCAAUUGCGAAGGCAGGUUACUACCAAUUGAUUGACGCUGAUGGACGAAAGCGUGGGUAGCGAACAGGAUUAGAUACCCCGGUAGUCCCUGUCUCUUAUAA
rnacentral:rRNA from 1 species